AGAACCAAAGGGGUCAAUUGACCCCUCCGAACUAGUUCUGCGCUGUUUACCGCGCAACUAGCUACGCAACUAGUUACGCGGGAAGCGAACGCAGACCAGGUCUUCGUCGACUACAAUGUACUAGUUCUGCAACUAGUUACGCGGGAAGCGAACGCGGACCAGUCGAAAAAGAACCAAAAAACGAAGCCGCCUUCGGUUUGUUUUUGAAGGCGGCAAAUAACCGCAAUUCCGUGAAGUUACAGUGCCCACUCAGCUAGUUUUUACCGAGCCACGACAUGCAAUGAGCACCGAAAUGGUAAGUUAAUCGUGAUAUUUUACUGUAGUUGCGAUCGUGGAAUGAAAGAGACAAGAAUUUACACAAACAAAAUGCAUUUGUUUUCCUCGUUUGCUUUAUGCGUUGAUUUUGUUCACUUCUGUACAAGAUCUAAUCGCUGGAAGAGUCUUUUGUGUGAACAUUUAUUAAAAAAGUGGAAAAGAUUUAAUAAAUAAAUCAAAUUAAUAUAAACAGAUCAAUUGAAUGCAGUGGUCCAAAUUUUAGCGGAUCAAACUGUUUUAAUAAAGCAGCUGGUAAAGGAGAAGGGGGAAUUGAAUCCCAUUCGGGGACAGUUCCCUAUAAAACGUGAGGAAGAACUUAUAGAACUGGAAGAAAAAAUAAAAUUAAAUAGGGACAUUUAUAUAACAGCAAUGAAAU
rnacentral:sRNA from 1 species